rnacentral:rRNA from 1 species
AGCGAACGCUGGCGGCAGGCCUAAUACAUACAAGUCGAACGGAUCCUUCGGGAUUAGUGGCGGACGGGUGAGUAACACGUGGGAACGUGCCCUUUGGUUCGGAACAACUCAGGGAAACUUGAGCUAAUACCGGAUAAGCCCUUCGGGGAAGGAUUAUCGCCAUUGGAGCGGCCCGCGUCUGAUUAGCUAGUUGGUGGGGUAAAGGGCCUACCAAGGCGACGAUCAGUAGCUGGUCUGAGAGGAUGANCAGCCACACUGGGACUGAGACACGGCCCAGACUCCUACGGGAGGCAGCAGUAGGGAAUCUUGCGCAAUGGGCGAAAGCCUGACGCAGCCAUGCCGCGUGAAUGAUGAAGGUCUUAGGAUUGUAAAAUUACUUUCUAGCGGGACGAUAAUGACGGUACCCGCAGAAGAAGCCCCGGCUAACUUCGUGCCAGCAGCCGCGGUAAU